rnacentral:rRNA from 1 species
AUGUAUGCUUCUAGACCCCCUCCAUUGAUCGCACGAUGGGACGAAAUGAUGGCUACUAUAAGAAGCGGUGCUUACGAGAAAGGAGGUCUUCAUAACGGGCUGAUUGAAAUGGUAGUUGAAGUCAUGAAUGCACGCAUUGCUGAUCAUGAAAAGAAGGUAGGCAGGAAGUUAAUGGAAAUUGAGCACAGAUUUGAUGUCAAAUACCAGACUCUAGGUGAAGACUUGAUCGACAUGAAGACUAAAACUAGCACUAAUCCUAGGUUUUUGAAGGCCGAGGACAAAAUUAAAGACUUAAGGAGGGAACUCCAUGACUUAAAAUACGAAUUUACAAGGAACCGACAAUCAGUGUCACAAAAAGGAGGCGUGCAGGUGAUCAAUAUGGUCCAACAUGUUAAUAUCUAA